GUGCUCGCCUUCGCAGCACAUAUACUAAAAUGGGAACAAUACGGAGAAGAUUAGCAUGACCCCU
rnacentral:snRNA from 2 species